rnacentral:SRP_RNA from 1 species
AUUGACAAUAAAAUUUUUAAAUUAUAUAAUAAGCACUGAGUUUAUGUGAGAAUCGAGCGCUCUUAGAUUACCUGCAGGUCGAGGGGACCCUGCGCAAGGGUGAGCCGUGAAUCUUGUCAGGUCCGAGAGGAAGCAGCAAUAAGCGGUCCUUACCCUGUGCCGCAGACCCGUCUUCUCCAAUCUGCAGGUAAUCUAAGGGCGUUGUCUAU